AGAAAAGACAAAUUUAUGUGUUGCAACUUAAGGAAGUGAUUGAUGAAAAUGAAUUAGAUGCUGUUUUAGAAAGUGAAUUGGCAGAUGAUGAUUGUAUUCCGGAAGGGCAGCUUUCUCUCAAUGCACUGUGGGGCACUGGCAAUAACCAAACAAAGAUUAUCAAAGGCCACUGUGGGAAGAGAGAAUUACAUGUGUUAAUAGAUACUGGCAGCACUCAUAAUUUUCUAAGCAA
rnacentral:misc_RNA from 1 species